UGGCUUGUAGCUCAACUGUGGAGAGCAACAUUCUUAUACGAUGCAGGUUGUAGGUUCGAGCCCUACCAAGCCAA
rnacentral:tRNA from 1 species